rnacentral:rRNA from 1 species
GACGUAGGGCGCGAGCGUUGUCCGGAUUUAUUGGGCGUAAAGAGCUCGUAGGCGGCUCGUUGCGUCGGCUGUGAAAACCCGCAGCUCAACUGUGGGCUUGCAGCUGAUACGGGCGGGCUUGGAUUCGGUAGGGGAGACUGGAAUUCCUGGUGUAGCGGUGAAAUGCGCAGAUAUCAGGAGGAACACCGGUGGCGAAGGCGGGUCUCUGGGCCGAUACUGACGCUGAGGAGCGAAAGCGUGGGGAGCGAACAGG